AGGAACAAAAGUGCAAAAAAGCAGUAAACCUACAGUUUUUGGAGUAGUAAAGCCAACUAUAAUCCUUGACGAUAUCUACUAUCCACAAGCUACCUCGGGUCUGAAAGGGUUGAAAAAGAAGGUAGUGAGAUUAUAAAAUCCUAGUGAGUAAAUAGAUACCAUCUAAACCAUCUAAAGUCGAGUAAAUGGAGAUAGAUAAAAUAGUUUAACAUACUGAAAUUCAUCACCUUUCAACUUGUUUCAACUAAAUAAAAUGAAUUCAUAUAAAUCGAGUAAUUAACAUGGCUUAUGAAUUUCUUAAAAGAUUUGGCUCGUGCCAAAAUCAUUCUCAUACUUAGUUAUCAGGGAUACCUUGGCCGCGGGCUAUCCCAAACCGAGUCCGCCAAGGCUAUAAAAAAGUUAUGUACUCCUAAAUCAUGUUUUUUAUUUUUAAAAUAUAGUUGUUCUUUGGCAUUGGCUAAGUUCGCCUUCACGUGGUGGUUUGGCGUGAAGUGAACUCUAAAAGUUAUACCUCAGGAGUUGCCCUACUCGCCUCUCCAACCGAGGUAAGAAUAUGACCAGGUUCAGUGCCCCUUUAAUCGACUAGUCCACAAAACCAGCCCACUGCAGCAAGCUAAACCUACCAUACAAUAAAAUUUGCAACAACAUGAUAUGACAAUUUUAUCAUUAUCCAGCCUAUCAAGGCAAACAAUAGUUUAUACAUUUCAACACAAAUACCAAUUUAGCCAUUCAUGCCAAUAUUGUCAUAAGCCAAUCAAUUAGAACCAUAAAUUCACAAUACAUCAAAUGGUCUCCAAUUACUCUAUUUGAAAAGCCAUUAUUCAAUUUUAAAAUAAUUUUAUGAAAUCAUUUCACUAAAUCACAUUUUGUUUAUAAAAUCGAAAGAUUAAUCAUUUAAUUCAUUUUCCAUGAAAUUCACAAAAUCGGAUAAAAAUCACUUUAGAUAAUUAAGACGAUAGUAAGGUUACUCACAAUACUAGGAGUUCGAUAUACUCCUAUUCCCGAUCUUCGGGCACAAUCUCUUUACCCUUGUUAGAGGGCUCACCACUUAUACAUCAUACGUGACACGAAUUUUAAUAAAUUGUGUCAAUGUAUCAUAAACUAUUUCAGGCUCUAUAAAUCUAUAUGAAUGAAGGAAAUGUGAUGCAAAAUGUCCGAAUAGCCGUUUAAAUACGAUAUUCGACCUAAUUCGCACUAUUCUCAGUGUAAUUAGCUAAAACCUCCAAUUUAACUCUAAAUCGAUUUCUUUCACUUUCUACACUCCAAUUAUACUUAAAAUACCUCAAUGAUUGUGAAUAUGAUUCAAUUUAUCAGUCCAAACCAUAAAUCGCACAUGUCUAUACAUUAGGUAAAAAUUCAUAUUUUCAUGCCAAAAUUUCCCAUUAAAUUUCUAGCCUCACCAAUCAUUAAAUACCACCAAAAUAUCAUGAAAUAUCAUCAAUUUCAGCCUUAAUAUUCUCCCUAGAAAAUUUGGCCUCUUGUGGGUUUGUGAAGAACAAAGUGAUUCCUUGCUAGAUUUUCAUACUUUCCAUUACCAAACAACCAAAAACACUUAAUUAGCUUGAAAUCUAGCAAAAUCAAUGCUCAAAACCUCUCCUCUCAAAUUCGGCCAGCAUGGGUUCAUCAUGCAAACUUGAGUUCUAAGCAUGAAAAAUGAAAAAGAAAGCAUGGGUAGUGUAAAUCACAAGAUCAAAUCACAAAAUUUUACCUUUAUUAGCUUAAUCCCUUGAAAUCCCACACUUUUUCUUCAAUUUUCCCACCUAGGGUUUCUGUUCUCUCCUUUCCUCUUCCUUUGUUCUUCUUUUGCCGGCCAUAUAAUAAGAAAUGGGCUGAUUUUAUGCUAAUUUAUAAGGAAAAUAAUGAAUGGAUGAGAUUUUGACACAUGUUACCAUUCCAUUGGUCCAUGUGUCAUACUUAGCCAUUAAGCAAUCUCUCUCCAUUGCUUAAAUUUCCUUAAUUAUCCAUGAUAAUAUUGGGUAAAAUCCAUGUGAUGGACAAGUGUUGGGUGGUGUAAAAUUACAAUUUUGCCCUUGGGCUAUAAAAGGACUAUUUUACCCUUAUGCUCGAAAAAAUGUCGAAAUUAAAAUUCUUCACUUCUCAAACUCAAAUUAUACUCCCAAUGAUCAAUCUUAGUCAAAAUUUCCUGCCAACACUCACAUUUUAACCUCGGGUGGCAAAAUGACCAUUUUGCCCCUAGAACAUGAAAAUUCCAAAUUGGCUCCAAUUCAGCCCUCAAACUCCAAAUCAUCAUUUUAAGUCAUUCUGGGGUUUUAAAAUUCUCAAUUUCAUCUUAAGAUCUCUAUGUAGACUAGUUUGAGGCUUAAUUCAACUUAAUAGUACCAUUUAGUACAAUAUCGACUUUUGAUGAUUUUUUGGGGCUUUCCAAGUAUGCAAACAUGCUAUCCAUCACAUGUAUGUCAUGACAAGUAUUUUAUAAGGUUGUGCUUUACAGCACUACCACCCUUAAAAUAAAAUUUUGACCUCAAAAUUUCACUUACCGAAUUCCAAGAAAAGAUAUGGAUAUCGGUCUCUCAUCUGGUGCUCGACUUCCCACGUCAUCUCUUCCAUUCGAGCAUUUUGUGGCAUCCCCCUCGAGGGCCCACUCCAAGGUAUUGUUAUAUUCGGGUCCCCAUCACUUGACUUACUCGUAUUCGCCACACCUAAGGGUGGCACGACAGGCCUUGCAGGACCUUCUUGCCAAGCUUCGAACCCGAGACCUUUUGCUCCCCCUAAAGGGAACGCUUUUAACCAUUAGGAUGUUUUUAUUCCUCAACACUCGAUCCUUUUGAUCUCGAAUACGUACAGGUUGCAUCUAAGUCAAAUCAUCCUUAAAUCAUCAAUCAUGCAUGUUUACUUAACUAUCCACAAUUUCUCUACCUUGAUCUUUUAUCAAACCUUCCAACAUUCAAGCAUUUCAUAAUACAUAAGGAUCAAACACCUUUUAUUUAUCCAUAGAUAUAUAUUUAACAUCACAGAUAAUUCAAAUUUGAUAACCAUUAGUAACCAUAUUCUCAAAAAGAAACUCUCGUACUUUUAUGAUCAAGUACUUAUUAAGUAAAUCUCGAACCACUAAAACCAUUCUUCAUUUUAGUUGGGUACAUCACUAACUCCACAUAUACGUAUACACGCACAUUCAAGUGUCCAUAUUCCUCAUUAUGUAUACGGGUCUCAAUUUUCAAAUGCCUUCAGACUAAUUUCUCUUUGUUCAUUCCCAUCCAUAAUCAAGAUUCAAUAGAAAAAUCUUCAUAAUUCAUACAAUUUCUCAUCAUGCCUUUGCAUAGUUCCACAUUAUUUACAUACUUAUACUAUCUUCUUAUCAUUUCCACUUAUAUGCUUAAGUUUCUUUGUACUAUAUAUCAUUGCAUCACAAUGUCAUCUCCUUUGAAUUAUAAUCUAUUAUGCAUGUAUGCUUUAUAAUCCCAUUAAUACUUCAAAGAUUUAUCUUAACUUGAUCAUUGCAUUUUAUGCAAUACCACAAUUCCUAAGAGUCAUCCUUUUUCCUCAAUUAUCCUUCAUGCCUCUUACAUAUAUUGUAUCCUUAUUGCAUUCCGAUAUUGAUUUGUCACUUAAAACUCGGACUCAUUUGAAUCAUGUAUGCCUCAAUCAUUUUCGAAUUCCAAUUUCCAUAAUAUAUUAGGAAAGUUUAAUUAUCCGACUUCAUUAUCAAGGUCAACUUCUAUCAUCCUUUGUUCCACUCUUUGAUAUGAAUAUAACAUCAUUCUUCCUUAACUAAUUUACAAAUUGUACUUGAAAUUGCAAAACUUGAAACUAGAUUCUCCUCAAGUAUUUUUCAAUAUUAAUACUAAUAUCACUCCCAACUUAUAGCUUCCUUUUUAUAACCACAUAACUUAGUGCUUGCUUUCACGAGAUCCAUGGCAGAACUUCUCUUGAGUAUUUCCUUGGGGAUAUCUAUCUUAAACUUAUGUCUCACAGCAGGUGAUCACUUAACUCGUGACUUAGCCAUUUGGCUCCUUAGCAAGUUUCAAAGUCAUGCAUCUUAUACUCAUCACGUAUAAUUUAUAAUUCUUUCUCAAAGGUGUUUAAACAUUCUUGAAACCCUUAAUCACUUAUUUACUCUUUCAUACUCCAAGUAUAUCAUUUCCAUAAAGGCAUGCCCAACUACUCAUGCUUCAACUUAUCUCUAAGGGUUUCUAGCAUACCCCGUAGUUUACUUGUGUUGUCACUAAUCCUUUCCUUUCAACAAGGUCAAGACAAGAUUAGUAAAUUCUCAUAACAAUAUUCUAUAUAAACUCAUUUGCUAUAUCAUUCUUGAAAUCUCCAUUCACACUCUCAUCACUUGGUAUUGACAUCUCUUAUCAACAUCUCAUAUAUUCAUCUAACCUUUCCCUCACUUCCUCUUUAACCUUUUACAAGAUUUACUUUAUUUCUUAAGAUUUGACUUUAGUUAACAUAUUAUUCAUCUUAAUACUCCACAUAUUAAUUUAUUUAUUUAUUGUUUUAUGUAGCCAUCUCAAAAACUCUCUAACUUUUCUUUCUCUUACAUGCCUAUAUAUAAGGCAAUAAAGAAACUCUGCAAUUUCACUCAUCAUUUUUAUCUUAAUACCUCCCCAAUGCACUUAAGACUCCAAACAACAAAGCUUAGCAUCAAAACCAAUAACCAUAUUUCAACUCGUAAGGUUCAUCUUUAUGCCACUCACAGUUUGCUCUUGCUUUCUAGCCAUUAGGGGUUCUUAACGCGGCAACAUUUGAUAGUCAGUACUGUGGCGUUGUAACUAUUUGAAUUCACUUUAUCCCAACAACUCUUCCACCUUUAAAGCUACUACCUCAAUUAUUCACAAUCGUGUGGCUUCCCUCUGAGUCUAUACCACAAUUAGCAAGACUACCUUUCUAUCACAAGUAUGCGAUCAGAACAUUGAUUUAAUGUAUUUAUUUUGCCACUAGCAUUCAUAUAUCUUUACCAUAACAUUUAGUACAAGUUUGCUUAAGUAAAAAUCUCCAAAUUUGUUCAUAGCUACAUGUAUCUCAGAUUGCACAUCACUUAUCAUCAGUCAAUAAAUCCCACUUUAGAAUACUCUUUCCAUAUUGUAUGGUAACUUCACUAUAUAGUAUCACGGCGCUAUGUUCCUCCAUUCUACUAUUAUGCACACUCCACAAAAAUUAAUUAAAAGAUUUACAGACCUUAACUAAUGCUAAUUCCAUUUAAUCAUAUCUUAAAUACUCCAAACUUGUAAAUUACAACUCCAAGUGUAUGUCCAUAUAUUGAUAAUCUUUAUAUAUUUCAUGAUCAUGAAAACUACAACUUACAAACUAGCUUUCUAUCAUAUGCACACUAUUAGAACAUUAACUUCAACAUGUUUAAUUCUCCUUUGGUGGUAUGUUAAGAUCAUUCCUGGAUACAUUUUCAUAUUAACAUUGAUAUGUCUUUACCAUAGCAUUUAGUGCAAAUUUGAUGAAGGAAUUGUCUCCAAAUAACUCUUAAAUACAUAAUUAUCAAAUUGUAUACCACUAAAUGUUAAGAUCUUGACUUUAUUCAUCAAUAACCAAUCACAUUUAUUAAGUGAAUAAUUUACUUAGUUAUUACACCUUGCCUUUGCGAUCAUAAGAUCAAAGUUGUCCUAAACUUAGGAUGCAGAAGUUCUCUCUCUUAGAGUAUACCCAAACAUCAACAUUUUCUAAAUUCCUUACUUUGCGGAGAUCACCUUCAAGAUUGAUCAUUCGUAUCAUAGGCCACACUUUGAACCAAAUAAACUUUUAAAUUGAUCUUUCAAGUAAUUCAUAUAUCAGUCUCAAUUAUAGAACUUCUUAUGGCACUUAGACUAGAUUUGACAUUUCUAAAUCAUUUAACCUAAAGCUGCCAAUUCCACAUCUAGUCCUUCAAUCCCUUGGCUCCCCCUUUUUCUAUGCAUAGCAAAGUUCAAGCUCAUCCUUAGAGCAGAUUUGUUUACUAAUUUCUUACUUCAUGACCACACAUCAAUUAUAGUAAUCAUUGAUACUCACUCUCGAGUUAAUUCAUGUGCUUAUAUCCAUGAAUUAUAAUAGGUCCAAUUAAUUCUUGAAAUCUCACAAUCGCUUAAUUGUAAUCAACACCAGUUCCCUCUAAGCUGUUGUACCAAUUCAACACAUAUUCACAUAUAAAAUAUUUCAAAAUCCCAACACCACUUUUAUAUGGGCAUAACAAGCUCAAUUAACAUAGUGUUCUUAUCUUCAUGCACAGAGUAUGGGUUCACUCUUACCUCAAUGCUUAAUUUAUACACUCCAAGUGAAUUACAAUCAUCACUAUUCAUUCUAAUCAACGUGCGUCCCUUAUUACCAUUAUCACACGUGCUCCUUUAUAUUAACCCCAAUACAAUCCAUAGUCCCCAAAUCUUUCUCUAAUUGACAAUCAUGAGUUCAAUUAUAACUCCACCAAAUGAAUAAAUUAUCACAGCCUAUUAGUCCAACUCUAAAUUUCUCUAUCCUUAAUCGGAGGGAUAUAUCAUUUCAUUAAUCUUUCAUUAGAAGCAUUUGUUUUAAGAUCUCUAUAACACUGGCUCGUGUCACGGGUGGCAUCUUAAACUCGGACAACAACCUUACUUAUACUCCUUUGCAUGACAUUAACAAGGAAGUGGAUUACUGGGAACAAGAGUUCAUAUAGCUCCUUGUCUAUGACUUAUGCUCCCAUAAGAUCUAUAAGAAGAAACAGAACGAAUCUAAACAACUCCAAAUUCUAUGUGCAGAUGCACAUAUUCUAUUUUAUCAAACCUAACUUAACUUAACUCGGGGCCACACUGACACUGUAAAUUCUUUUUGUAAAACAACUUUAAAACCAAAAGCUUUGAUACCAAUAGAAUUGUCAAGACCCGGUACUCCCCUCGAGCCCAUGACAACCGCCGCGACUUCUCGGUAGACAUUCGUUACCCGGAGUGCCAACCGGAACCCCGCAAGGCUUUAGUACCAUUUUUUUCAUCUCCCUUGUGAGUAAUCAUUGCCAAACCUCAUUUUUAAAGAAUUUUAAGCUUUUUCCCUUUCAAAACUGUGGAAAAAUAAUUUUUGCCUCGCAGGAGCAUUUUCGUCAUUUUUCCUCAAAAUUUCUCGAACCCGACUAAAGAUGUAGUAGAUAAGUGGAAAACACAUAUUUCAUGAUUUAAAAUAAAUUUGGGUGUCUAAAACAUUUAUUAAAAAUGAUAUUGCAACUAUUUGAAUAAAAUAAAAAUAUCAAUAAAAUAUUCUAAUUUCUUGUAAAACAAUAUUUAUAGAGUCAUCGAUAAAUAAUUUUUUUUAAUGUAAAAGUUAAAUAAAUUCAUACGUACUAUAAUACAGAUAACCAGGAUAUGAAAUUUACUUUACAGUGACUCAUGGGCCCACAAGGAACAAAAGUGCACAAAGGCAAUAAACCUACAGUUUUUGGAGUAGUAAAGCCAACUAUAAUCCUUAACGAUAUCUGUUAUCCACAGGCUACCUCGGGCCUGAAAAGGUUGAAAAAGAGGAUGGCAAGAUUAUAAAAUCUCAGUGAGUAAACAGAUACCAUCUAAACCAUCUAAAGUCAAGUAAAUGGAGACAGAUAAAAUAGUUUAAGAUACUGAAAUUCAUCACCUUUCAACUUGUUUCAACCAAAUAAAAUCAAUUCAUAUAAAUCGAGUAAUUAACAUGGCUUAUGAAUUUCUUAAAAGAUUUGGCUCAUGCCAAAAUUAUUCUCAUACUCAGUUAUCAGGGAUACUUUUGCCGCGGGCUAUCCCAAACCGAGUUUGCCAAGGCUAUUAAAAAGUUAUGUACUCAUAAAUCAUGUUUUUUAUUUUAAAAAUUUAGCCGUUCCUUGGCGUUGGCUGAGUUCGCCCUCACGUGGUCGUUUGGCAUGAAGUGAACUCUAAAAGUUAUACCUCGGGGAGUUACCCUACUCGCCUCUCCAGCCGAGGUAAAAAUAUAACCAGGUUCUGUGCCCCUCUAAUCGGCUAGUCCACAAAACCAACCCACUGCAGCAAGCUAAACCCACCAUACAAUAAAAUUUGCAACAGCAUGACAUGGCAAUUUUAUCAUUAUCCAGCCUAUCAAGGCAAACAACAAUUUAUACAUUUCAACACAAAUACCAAUUUAGCCAUUCAUGCCAAUAUUGUCAUAAGCCAAUCAAUUAGAACCAUAAAUUCACAAUACAUCAAAUGGUCUCCAAUUACUCUAUUUGAAAAGCUAUUAUUCAAUUUUAAAACAAUUUUAUGAAAUCAUUUCACUAAAUCACAUUUUGUUUAUAAAAUCGAAAAAUUAAUCAUUUAAUUCAUUUUCCAUGAAAUUCACAAAAUCGGAUAAAAACCACUUUAGAUAAUUAAGACGAUAGUAAGGUUACUCACAAUACUAGGAGUUCGAUAUACUCCUAUUUCUGAUCUUCGGGCACAAUCUCUUUACCCUUGUUAGAGGGCUCACCACUUAUACAUCAUACGUGACACGAAUUUCAAUAAAUUGUGUCAAUGUAUCAUAAACUAUUUCAGGCUCUAUAAAUCUAUAUGAAUGCACGAAAUGUGAUGCAAAAUGUCCGAAUAGCCGUUUAAAUACGAUAUUCGACCUAAUUCGCACUAUUCUCGAUGUAAUUGGCUAAAACCUCCAAUUUAACUCUAAAUCGAUUUCUUUCACUUUUUACACUCCAAUUUUACUUAAAAUAGCUCAAUGACUGUGAAUAUGAUUCAAUUUAUUAGUCCGAACCAUAAAUCGCACAUGUUUAUACAUUAGGUAAAAAUUCAGAUUUUCAUGCCAAAAUUUCCCAUUAAAUUUCUAGCCUCACCAAUCAUUAAAUACCACCAAAAUAUCAUAAAAUAUCAUCAAUUUCAGCCUUAAUAUUCUCCCUAGAAAAUUUGGCCUCUUGUGGGUUUGUGAAGAACAAAGUGAUUCCUUGCUAGAUUUUCAUACUUUCCAUUACCAAACAACCAAAAACACUUAAUUAGCUUGAAAUCUAGCAAAAUCAAUGCUCAAAACCUCUCCUCUCAAAUUCGGCCAGCAUGGGUUCAUCAUGCAAACUUGAGUUCUAAGCAUGGAAAAUGAAAAAGAAAGCUUGGGUAGUGUAAAUCACAAGAUAAAAUCAUAAAAUUUUACCUUUAUUAGCUUAAUCCCUUGAAAUCCCACACUUUUUCUCCAAUUUUCCCACCUAGGGUUUGUGUUCUCUCCUUUCCUCUUCCUUUGUUCUUCUUUGGC
rnacentral:lncRNA from 1 species